GAUGAACGCUGGCGGCGUGCCUAAUAUAUGCAAGUCGAGCGAACAGAUGAGGAGCUUGCUCCUCUGACGUUAGCGGCGGACGGGUGAGUAACACGUGGAUAACCUACCUAUAAGACUGGGAUAACUUCGGGAAACCGGAGCUAAUACCGGAUAAUAUAUUGAACCGCAUGGUUCAAUAGUGAAAGACGGUUUUGCUGUCACUUAUAGAUGGAUCCGCGCCGCAUUAGCUAGUUGGUAAGAUAACGGCUUACCAAGGCAACGAUGCGUAGCCGACCUGAGAGGGUGAUCGGCCACACUGGAACUGAGACACGGUCCAGACUCCUACGGGAGGCAGCAGUAGGGAAUCUUCCGCAAUGGGCGAAAGCCUGACGGAGCAACGCCGCGUGAGUGAUGAAGGUCUUCGGAUCGUAAAACUCUGUUAUUAGGGAAGAACAAAUGUGUAAGUAACUAUGCACGUCUUGACGGUACCUAAUCAGAAAGCCACGGCUAACUACGUG
rnacentral:rRNA from 1 species